rnacentral:lncRNA from 1 species
GUCAGAGCAGAUUCGAAAAACUUAGGAAUUUACUUAGUGUUAGAUCUCUUAGUGACUUAGAUUUAAAGGGGUUGUGUUAGAUAUGUAAAUCUAAGCCCAUAACGUUUUAACUGUCAUUUGACAGUAGGCUUUGUUUGUACAUAUAUACUGGUUUACGCAAUGAGAAAAAUAUCUCUCGUUCUCUUUAUCUCAGUUGUAUUCACUCAUUCUACCCGAUCUCUCUUUUCCCCUUGUUCACCUCACACGCCCUAUCAAUCCGCCACCUCAAGAUAUGCGCCUAGAUCUAGAAACACCUUUGCAACACCGGGUCGCACGUACCCCUCCGCCAUGUACAAUGCAACGAGAUCACCAC